AGACCAUGAUAUGGAUAUUUCCUCAAUAACACCUUGAACUUUUCCCAUAUCUCAUACAAUGAUUCCCCGUCGUCUUGAGAGUAGGAGUAAUCUCGGUCAUGAGUUU
rfam:Helianthus annuus linkage group 5, whole genome shotgun sequence.